rnacentral:lncRNA from 1 species
ACAGACGUCGACUCCAGCAAAAAUGUCCUGACUGACUUCAGGAGAGAGGAAUUAUUGCUACGUGCCUCUUUCCCAGUGAAGAAAAUCUCUGUUGGCUGCGAGCAGAGAAGCGGCGGAAGGAUUCCCGACUCCGGGAAGCCAGGUGUCGGAAGGAGGAAGUACGCUUGAAGGGGGUCCGGCUGGCCGACUCUGCACUCGUCCGUUCGUGGCCCACCGUGGUGGUCACCAAAUUGAGGGCUUCCUGGAAGGACCUCCUCACGGUGCCCAUCCACUGGGUCAUGUGGGUCUGGGCCACUGUGAGUUUAUCUCCCAGCUGUCUCUCCCUCCCUCUCUGGAAGGCAACACUGAUCCAGGAUCUCACUCUGUUGCCCAGGCUGGACUGCAGUGGCAUGAUCACAGCUCACUGCAGCCUUGGCCUCCCAGGCUCAAGCGAUCCUCCCACCUCAGCCUCCUCGGUAGCUAGGACUACAGGUGGAGCAACACCGUCAGUCAGAAGGCAGCGGAUGGCACAGGGCUUCCGCGUAAGGCCUGCAUCGCCUGAGUCAUGGUUUUCUCAUCUUGUAUGAGGCCCACCCCCUUCAAAAGGUUGUGACAAAAAAAACAACUGAGAUAAUUUGUGCCGCUGGCACAUAGUUAACACUCAAUAAGGCCGGGCGCAGUGGCUUACACCUCUAAUCCCAGCACUUUGGGAGGCUGAGGCAGGUGGAUCACUUGAGGCCAGGAGUUCGAUACCAGCCUGACCAACAUGGUGAAACCCCAUCUCAACUAAAAAUACAAAAAUUAGCCAGGCAUGGUGGUGUGCACCUGUAGUCCCAGCUACUUGGGAGCCUGAGGCAGGAGCAUCUCUUGAACCCGGGAGGUGGAGGUUGCAGUGAGCGGAGAUGGCACCACUGCACUCCAGCCUGGGCGACAGAACAAGACUCUGUCUCAAAACAACAACAACAACAAAAUAAUAAA